GGCGAGUGGCGAACGGGUGAGUAAUAUAUCGGAACGUGCCCAGUCGUGGGGGAUAACGUAGAGAAAUUUACGCUAAUACCGCAUACGAUCUAAGGAUGAAAGCGGGGGACUUCGCAAGGAGCCUCGCGCGAUUGGAGCGGCUGAUAUCAGAUUAGGUUGUUGGUGAGGUAAAAGCUCACCAAGCCGACGAUCUGUAGCUGGUUUGAGAGAACGACCAGCCACACUGGGACUGAGACACGGCCCAGACUCCUACGGGAGGCAGCAGUGGGGAAUUUUGGACAAUGGGCGAAAGCCUGAUCCAGCAAUGCCGCGUGCAGGAAGAAGGCCUUCGGGUUGUAAACUGCUUUUGUACGGAACGAAAAGGUCUGCCCUAAUACGGCGGGCCCAUGACGGUACCGUAAGAAUAAGCACCGGCUAACUACGUGCCAGCAGCCGCGGUAAUACGUAGGGACCAAGCGUUGUUCGGAUUUACUGGGCGUAAAGGGCGCGUAGGCGGCUUGACAAGUCACUUGUGAAAUCUCCGGGCUUAACUCGGAACGGCCAAGUGAAA
rnacentral:rRNA from 1 species